UCCUUGGUGGCUCAGAUGGUAAAGAGUCUGCCUGCAGUGCAGGAGACCCAGGUUCCAUCCCUGGGUUGGGAA
rnacentral:tRNA from 1 species